rnacentral:tRNA from 1 species
AAGAAAGAAAUAUAAAGGUCGAUAUGAUUGGCUUGAAACUAAUUUUAGGGGGUUCGAUUCCCUCCUUUCUUG